GAUGAAGAACGUAGCGAAAUGCGAUACGUAAUGUGAAUUGCAGAAUUCAGUGAAUCAUCGAAUCUUUGAACGCACCUUGCGCCCUUUGGCUAUUCCGAAGGGCAUGCCUGUUUGAGUAUCGUGAACACCUCAACUCUCAUGGUCUGCCAUGAUGAGCUUGGACUUUGGGGGUCUUGCCGGCCUAGCGUCGGCUCCUCUCAAAUGGAUCAGCUUGCCAGUGUUUGGUGGCAUCACAGGUGUGAUAACUAUCUACGCUUGUGGUUUUCUACCAUGUAACCUUCAGCGAUGGAGGUUCGCUGGGGCUCACAGACGUCUCUCCUUGGAGGACAGCUUUUUGAACGUUUGAUCUCAAAUCAGGUAGGACUACCCGCUGAACUUAAGCAUAUCAAUAAGCGGAGGA
rnacentral:misc_RNA from 1 species